UAUUUAUCCCAUUCCGCUCUCGGCAGCAACUUUACUGCAUUUGGUCUCAGGGCAGAAACGACUCUCAGAAUCAUGGGAUCCGGGGCAGCGUUUCUACUGGUUCUACUGGUACUUUGUGGGCUUCCUGAUGUUGGGGCUUCGGAGGGACAGGACUCCAUUUGGGGAUGUGACGUUUUCCUGGGAUUCUGCCGAAUCGCCUGUUUUGCUCAUGAAAAGUCUGUGGGACCCAAGAAUUGCGCUGAAGGAUUUAUGUGCUGCAUCCCCAGUGUAUACGGGAGACUGUGGUGAAAGGAAACUAAACCAGAUGCACCGACCGGCGUAGGAAUAAACAUGAGUUGCCCCAUCUGCCCCCGGAGACUGACCAGUGGGUGCUGUUUCAUAUCCGGACACUAGGGGUCACUGCUUAGCCGCAGUCUGUAAUGAUCAAUCCCAUUAUCAGUGACUCCUCAUUCUUUUAAUAAACAAUUAUUGAAACGAUUCA